CAAACUCUGGCAUUAUGUAGUAUCUUUGGGUUAACCAAAUACAUAAGAGUGCAUAUGAUUAACAGUAAGGCCAUAAGGCACAAAAGUGUUAUCCUCUAUUGGAAACAGCUAAGUAGUUUUACUACUGUUAUAUGCACAAGAUAAGGCGUGCAAUAAGCUUAUCUAUUCUGCUUUUACCUCUGACAACAAAAUAUUAAAAAUGUCGAUUUUAUUGUUAGCAUUAGAAAUACAUUUUGUUAGUAUGUCUUUUCUUUAAGACUGUUCACCCCGGGAGGAGUUGUAGCAGAGUGCUUCAUUAACAGAAAACAAAAUCCUGCUUGACCAGAGAGCAGGAUUCCCAGCGCGAUGGAACUAGCACAGGACGCUAUGAAAACCCGAGGCCUGGGAGCAGUCCUCUAGGCCAGAGCUAGAGGUUACAGAAGUUGGUGAGAGAGACUUUGUGUCUCCUUCGUGAUGGGCACUGGAACUGGAUUAGUGUGAUGGAAGUUUACGUCUAAAUGCAAGCAUGCGGCAACAAUAAUGCAACAGACUGUGAUAAAAUGGGAUGCGAUCUAACAGGACAUGACCGAUGGGAUGAGUACAAAAUGCUGGGUCUGCUGGUAGUGCUGUGCAGUAGUUCAGGUUGGCAUCUUCUGUGCUUUGAUUGUUCAUUUCAUUUUGCUGUCAUCCUACUGAGUUGAACAUUUUAAAAGACACAGCGUUUUUCCAUCUGUAAGUCAUGGAAAGACAGAUGGAUAUGGAAAAACUCCACCUACAGUGCCUUGAGUGAAUGCCAUUGCCCACUUAGUGGUAAAAAAAAACCCUUCUGGAAAAUUAAAAUGCCCUUAAAUAUAUUAUAUUGUGAAAAGCUCUUUAGUAUAGGAAAUUACUGAUCUCUUACAAUCGAAUUUAUUUUUUUAAUCAGUACAAGUAAAACGAACUGGUUCUUAUCAACAGAGCUGCUAUAUUAUAAACACCACUUCUGUUACACUGAAGUUAAUCCCCAGUCCUGUUACAAGAAACUCAUCCUUAUUAAAGUAACAUUAAGAGCUUCUUUUUAUUGAUCUGCUCCUUUCACUUAAUGAUAGGAACUUACUGAUGUUUUAAUAAUAACCUUGCAAGCUUUAUCUCAUUUUACUUCAAUGUGUGUUACAGAAAGAUGCUAUGGAAACUAACUUAGCAUAAACAUUUUGCAGAUGUCUUUAAAGGUUAGGGAAAAAAAUAAGAUUUAGUUGCACUGCAUGUUAACAAAGAUGGCUGAAAAACUAGAA
rnacentral:lncRNA from 1 species